AAUCUGCGAUAAGCGUCGGUAAGGUGAUAUGAACCGUUAUAACCGGCGAUUUCCGAAUGGGGAAACCCAGUGUGUUUCGACACACUAUCAUUAACUGAAUCCAUAGGUUAAUGAGGCGAACCGGGGGAACUGAAACAUCUAAGUACCCCGAGGAAAAGAAAUCAACCGAGAUUCCCCCAGUAGCGGCGAGCGAACGGGGAGCAGCCCAGAGCCUGAAUCAGUGUGUGUGUUAGUGGAAGCGUCUGGAAAGGCGCGCGAUACAGGGUGACAGCCCCGUACACAAAAAUGCACAUGCUGUGAGCUCGAUGAGUAGGGCGGGACACGUGGUAUCCUGUCUGAAUAUGGGGGGACCAUCCUCCAAGGCUAAAUACUCCUGACUGACCGAUAGUGAACCAGUACCGUGAGGGAAAGGCGAAAAGAACCCCGGCGAGGGGAGUGAAAAAGAACCUGAAACCGUGUACGUACAAGCAGUGGGAGCACGCUUAGGCGUGUGACUGCGUACCUUUUGUAUAAUGGGUCAGCGACUUAUAUUCUGUAGCAAGGUUAACCGAAUAGGGGAGCCGAAGGGAAACCGAGUCUUAACUGGGCGUUAAGUUGCAGGGUAUAGACCCGAAACCCGGUGAUCUAGCCAUGGGCAGGUUGAAGGUUGGGUAACACUAACUGGAGGACCGAACCGACUAAUGUUGAAAAAUUAGCGGAUGACUUGUGGCUGGGGGUGAAAGGCCAAUCAAACCGGGAGAUAGCUGGUUCUCCCCGAAAGCUAUUUAGGUAGCGCCUCGUGAAUUCAUCUCCGGGGGUAGAGCACUGUUUCGGCAAGGGGGUCAUCCCGACUUACCAACCCGAUGCAAACUGCGAAUACCGGAGAAUGUUAUCACGGGAGACACACGGCGGGUGCUAACGUCCGUCGUGAAGAGGGAAACAACCCAGACCGCCAGCUAAGGUCCCAAAGUCAUGGUUAAGUGGGAAACGAUGUGGGAAGGCCCAGACAGCCAGGAUGUUGGCUUAGAAGCAGCCAUCAUUUAAAGAAAGCGUAAUAGCUCACUGGUCGAGUCGGCCUGCGCGGAAGAUGUAACGGGGCUAAACCAUGCACCGAAGCUGCGGCAGCGACGCUUAUGCGUUGUUGGGUAGGGGAGCGUUCUGUAAGCCUGUGAAGGUGUGCUGUGAGGCAUGCUGGAGGUAUCAGAAGUGCGAAUGCUGACAUAAGUAACGAUAAAGCGGGUGAAAAGCCCGCUCGCCGGAAGACCAAGGGUUCCUGUCCAACGUUAAUCGGGGCAGGGUGAGUCGACCCCUAAGGCGAGGCCGAAAGGCGUAGUCGAUGGGAAACAGGUUAAUAUUCCUGUACUUGGUGUUACUGCGAAGGGGGGACGGAGAAGGCUAUGUUGGCCGGGCGACGGUUGUCCCGGUUUAAGCGUGUAGGCUGGUUUUCCAGGCAAAUCCGGAAAAUCAAGGCUGAGGCGUGAUGACGAGGUACUACGGUGCUGAAGCAACAAAUGCCCUGCUUCCAGGAAAAGCCUCUAAGCAUCAGGUAACAUCAAAUCGUACCCCAAACCGACACAGGUGGUCAGGUAGAGAAUACCAAGGCGCUUGAGAGAACUCGGGUGAAGGAACUAGGCAAAAUGGUGCCGUAACUUCGGGAGAAGGCACGCUGAUAUGUAGGUGAAGUCCCUUGCGGAUGGAGCUGAAAUCAGUCGAAGAUACCAGCUGGCUGCAACUGUUUAUUAAAAACACAGCACUGUGCAAACACGAAAGUGGACGUAUACGGUGUGACGCCUGCCCGGUGCCGGAAGGUUAAUUGAUGGGGUUAGCGGUAACGCGAAGCUCUUGAUCGAAGCCCCGGUAAACGGCGGCCGUAACUAUAACGGUCCUAAGGUAGCGAAAUUCCUUGUCGGGUAAGUUCCGACCUGCACGAAUGGCGUAAUGAUGGCCAGGCUGUCUCCACCCGAGACUCAGUGAAAUUGAACUCGCUGUGAAGAUGCAGUGUACCCGCGGCAAGACGGAAAGACCCCGUGAACCUUUACUAUAGCUUGACACUGAACAUUGAGCCUUGAUGUGUAGGAUAGGUGGGAGGCUUUGAAGUGUGGACGCCAGUCUGCAUGGAGCCGACCUUGAAAUACCACCCUUUAAUGUUUGAUGUUCUAACGUUGACCCGUAAUCCGGGUUGCGGACAGUGUCUGGUGGGUAGUUUGACUGGGGCGGUCUCCUCCUAAAGAGUAACGGAGGAGCACGAAGGUUGGCUAAUCCUGGUCGGACAUCAGGAGGUUAGUGCAAUGGCAUAAGCCAGCUUGACUGCGAGCGUGACGGCGCGAGCAGGUGCGAAAGCAGGUCAUAGUGAUCCGGUGGUUCUGAAUGGAAGGGCCAUCGCUCAACGGAUAAAAGGUACUCCGGGGAUAACAGGCUGAUACCGCCCAAGAGUUCAUAUCGACGGCGGUGUUUGGCACCUCGAUGUCGGCUCAUCACAUCCUGGGGCUGAAGUAGGUCCCAAGGGUAUGGCUGUUCGCCAUUUAAAGUGGUACGCGAGCUGGGUUUAGAACGUCGUGAGACAGUUCGGUCCCUAUCUGCCGUGGGCGCUGGAGAACUGAGGGGGGCUGCUCCUAGUACGAGAGGACCGGAGUGGACGCAUCACUGGUGUUCGGGUUGUCAUGCCAAUGGCACUGCCCGGUAGCUAAAUGCGGAAGAGAUAAGUGCUGAAAGCAUCUAAGCACGAAACUUGCCCCGAGAUGAGUUCUCCCUGACCCUUUAAGGGUCCUGAAGGAACGUUGAAGACGACGACGUUGAUAGGCCGGGUGUGUAAGCGCAGCGAUGCGUUGAGCUAACCGGUACUAAUGAACCGUGAGGCUUAACCUU
rnacentral:rRNA from 1 species